AUGCUCCAGCGCACAGCCCGGACCUGGCUGAACAGCCCGAGGCCUCGCAACAUCAACAGCUGGGUUGAUUUUACUGAAGCAUUCAUCCGCAACUUCACUAGCACGUACAAGUGGCCGCCCAAGCCUCGCCAGCUCUCCUUAUGCGUUCAAGGCCCCAACGAGUCGAUUCGCGACUAUCUCACGCGCUGGGCCGAGUUGCGCAACUCUUGCGAGGGCGUGCACGAGGUGCAGGCCAUCGAGUACUUCACUACGGGUGCCGAGAGGGCACCCUCCUCAAGCACAAGCUUCUCUGCGACGAGCCGACGACCCUCGACGAACUGCUAA
rnacentral:rRNA from 1 species